GCUGUAGCUUAGUGGUGGAGAAUCUGCUUUGCAUGCAGAAGGUCACAGGUUCAGGCCCUGGUAUCUCCA